rnacentral:rRNA from 1 species
GAAUGCUGACAUAAGUAACGAUAAAGCGGGUGAAAAGCCCGCUCGCCGGAAGACCAAGGGUUCCUGUCCAACGUUAAUCGGGGCAGGGUGAGUCGACCCCUAAGGCGAGGCCGAAAGGCGUAGUCGAUGGGAAACGGGUUAAUAUUCCCGUACUUGGUGUUACUGCGAAGGGGGGACGGAGAAGGCUAUGUUGGCCGGGCGACGGUUGUCCCGGUUUAAGCGUGUAGGUGUGUGUUCCAGGUAAAUCCGGUUCACUUUAACACUGAGGCGUGACGACGAGGCACUACGGUGCUGAAGCAACAAAUGCCCUGCUUCCAGGAAAAGCCUCUAAGCAUCAGGUAACAUCAAAUCGUACCCCAAACCGACACAGGUGGUCAGGUAGAGAAUACCAAGGCGCUUGAGAGAACUCGGGUGAAGGAACUAGGCAAAAUGGUGCCGUAACUUCGGGAGAAGGCACGCUGACACGUAGGUGAAGUGAUUUACUCAUGGAGCUGAAGUCAGUCGAAGAUACCAGCUGGCUGCAACUGUUUAUUAAAAACACAGCACUGUGCAAACACGAAAGUGGACGUAUACGGUGUGACGCCUGCCCGGUGCCGGAAGGUUAAUUGAUGGGGUCAGCGCAAGCGAAGCUCCUGAUCGAAGCCCCGGUAAACGGCGGCCGUAACUAUAACGGUCCUAAGGUAGCGAAAUUCCUUGUCGGGUAAGUUCCGACCUGCACGAAUGGCGUAAUGAUGGCCAGGCUGUCUCCACCCGAGACUCAGUGAAAUUGAACUCGCUGUGAAGAUGCAGUGUACCCGCGGCAAGACGGAAAGACCCCGUGAACCUUUACUAUAGCUUGACACUGAACAUUGAGCCUUGAUGUGUAGGAUAGGUGGGAGGCUUUGAAGCGUGGACGCCAGUCUGCGUGGAGCCGACCUUGAAAUACCACCCUUUAAUGUUUGAUGUUCUAACGUGGACCCGUAAUCCGGGUUGCGGACAGUGUCUGGUGGGUAGUUUGACUGGGGCGGUCUCCUCCUAAAGAGUAACGGAGGAGCACGAAGGUUGGCUAAUCCUGGUCGGACAUCAGGAGGUUAGUGCAAUGGCAUAAGCCAGCUUGACUGCGAGCGUGACGGCGCGAGCAGGUGCGAAAGCAGGUCAUAGUGAUCCGGUGGUUCUGAAUGGAAGGGCCAUCGCUCAACGGAUAAAAGGUACUCCGGGGAUAACAGGCUGAUACCGCCCAAGAGUUCAUAUCGACGGCGGUGUUUGGCACCUCGAUGUCGGCUCAUCACAUCCUGGGGCUGAAGUAGGUCCCAAGGGUAUGGCUGUUCGCCAUUUAAAGUGGUACGCGAGCUGGGUUUAGAACGUCGUGAGACAGUUCGGUCCCUAUCUGCCGUGGGCGCUGGAGAACUGAGGGGGGCUGCUCCUAGUACGAGAGGACCGGAGUGGACGCAUCACUGGUGUUCGGGUUGUCAUGCCAAUGGCACUGCCCGGUAGCUAAAUGCGGAAGAGAUAAGUGCUGAAAGCAUCUAAGCACGAAACUUGCCCCGAGAUGAGUUCUCCCUGAGACUUAGAGUCUCCUGAAGGAACGUUGAAGACGACGACGUUGAUAGGCCGGGUGUGUA